rnacentral:rRNA from 1 species
AGACGAACCGAGCGAACGUUGUUCGGAAUCACUGGGCUUAAAGGGCGCGUAGGCGGGCUGUCAAGUUUGGGGUGAAAUCCCGCGGCUCAACCGUGGAACUGCCUCAAAUACUGACGGUCUCGAGGGGGGUAGGGGCGAGCGGAACUGUGAGUGGAGCGGUGAAAUGCGUUGAUAUUCACAGGAACUCCGGUGGCGAAGGCGGCUCGCUGGACCUCUUCUGACGCUGAGGCGCGAAAGCCAGGGGAGCAAACGGGA